GAAAUGCGAUACGUAAUGUGAAUUGCAGGAUUCAGUGAAUCAUCAAAUUCUUGAACGCAACUUGCGCUCGGCGGGGCUUCUGCUUCGCCGAGCAUGUCUGUUUGAGUGUCAGUACACACCAUCACACCCCCACCCAAGGGUGCGCGGGAGUGGAUCGUUGACGGUUGGCGGACCCCUGUGCGCCAUCCGUUGAAAAACAGAGGAGUCACGGCCCAGCUUACCGCGACGUGGUGGAGUAGAUCGCAAUGAUUUUACCCUGCACCACUCGCGCUUGGGACCCGCGGCCCUGAGACAAGGCACUUGGGCAACUUGUUGCCCGGGUUACCCCAACAAUGACCUCAAAUCAGGCAAGGCUACCCGCUGAAUUUAA
rnacentral:misc_RNA from 1 species